rnacentral:tRNA from 1 species
GCCUUGGUAGCUCAAUGGUAGAGCUCCGCACUAGAGUUGCAGGGGUCCGAGUUUGAUUCCUGGUCCAGGCA